rnacentral:lncRNA from 1 species
ACCAAUAUGACUAUUUGGUUACAUUUGGCUUUUGUUGCUUAGUUUAUUCUUACAUAGAUGGGCAGCUGGAUGUUAGGGAAAAACAGGGACAGGAAAGAGACUCCAUCCAGUGGCUCUCUGAAGAUUCACCCUUGUUAUCAGUCACUUGGGAUUCUGUUAUCAGAAUUUGGGAUUGCUUGUUAUCACAGCAUUACCUAGUCUACCCUGACUAAUACAAGGGCACUUUGAGAAUCUGAUGGAAGCUCAGGCCACAAGAAAACUGCACAUUCAUGCAAAAUUCAGAACCUUUCAAUUUUAAUGUCUUGAGAUUUCGUUGUGUUUCUAAGAUCCUUGAUGUCCCACAGCCUCCUCUUCUCAGCCUUGGAAUCUGAGGCACCUGGGUUGUAAGUGAUGCUAUGUCAGUGUUCACAAAGGCUCACAAGUCUGCGAAGUGGCCAAGAUGAGCUGACCCUGUCACCAUGGAGCAAGGCCUAUGUGUGCAAAUGAGUCAUGAGCUGAGAGGAAAGAGCUUGAGCCUGAGCUUUUUUUUUUCUUUUCUUUUCUUUUCUUUUUAUGAUGAUUGCUUGAGCCUGAGCUUGUUUGCCAGAUGCUUUCACUAGCCCAAGCUUGUUUUGUGGAUGCUUUCUGCUGCCAGCUACUUUGUAGUCCCUCCUGUGUGACAGCAUCUUGCCAUCAACGGGCUGCAGAAGAAGGGGUGCUUGUUGCUAUUGUGAGCAAACACUGCAUAAACAAUCAGCUCACAUGUGUGUCCCAGAGCGUAUGACCAAUGACCUGGAGAACUCUCAGGCUGUGGGGUGGAGAGAAGGCCAUUCUGAGGUCAACUGAAACCUCACUUGAGGGGCAGUUCCGUAGAUGGGAAUGAGGAGAGAGUCAUGGCCACAGCCACCUGGCCAAGGAGAGAGGCCAUAACUGCCAGACAGAACCAAGGAUGGAGGGACUUCAGCAGCACGAACAAUCCACACUCAGCAUGGGUCACUCUCUGGGACACACAUUUCCCUCUGGCUGAAAGGCUGAGCUGCUCCAGGGCCAACUGUGAGGUCAGACAGCUGCCCAGGGAUGUCUCCAGCCACUCAAGGGAAGAAGAGACCACUCACCUGUAAUUUCAACAGCAACAAAAGACCUGAGGUUCCACCAUCAGAACUUCACGCCCUAAGGAAGAUGCAGCAUUUCCUGUAAAAUGCAAGUGCUCCCAGGCAGAGAGCCAGAAUUGAUUUCGUGGCUUUCUUUCUCCUCUUCUGGGAUUUUGUGCCCUAUUGCCACAGAAACCCUGGGCCCCUUCCCCAGCUGUCAUGAAGGUGCCUGAGUGAUGGUCAGAGAGAUGACCGGAGGGGCCCACCCGGCCACCGCAGCAGCAGCAGCCAAGGCGGGACUAAGCCUCCACACCCCACAUCUCAGUCGUGGCCAGCCCGGGAUGCCUGCCUCUCCUGCCCUGUGGUGUUGCUGUCCUCAUAUGACCCUUCAGUCCCCCGACAUCUGGACAGGCUUUAGGGACCUGCUUGAGCAGAACAUGGUAGAAGUGAUGGACUGGGGCUUCUGAGGCUAAGCCAUAAGAAGCCUUGAGAAUUUCACCUGGCCCUCACUGUCUCUGGGAGCCCUGAGCCAUGAUAGAAGAAGUCCUUCCUAUAUUGAAUGUCCUUGAGACCUCCAGUACUGGAAAGGGCAUUUGUAGAUGCUCAGACCAACAGUCCAAACUGAGCCCAGUCUGCCAACUUGCCCUGCCAAGGUGUCAGAUGCAUAUGUGAAUGAGACCAUCCUAGACCUGCUGAUAGCCCAUCACCCGGCUGACUGCUACUGAGUAACCUCUGCCAACUUCACGCCGAACACAGAACUGCUGAUUUGAACUCUGCCUGAAUUUCUUGGCCCACAGAACAAUGAGAUAUAAUUAAAAGGCAAUGGUUCAAGCCA